GCCCCGGUGGUGUAGGCCGGAAGCAUCCUGGCCUUUCGAGCCAGGGGUCCCGGGUUCAAAUCCCGGCCGGGGCACCA
rnacentral:tRNA from 1 species